AAUCAACGCUGGCGGCGUGCCUCAGACAUGCAAGUCGAACGCGAAAGAGGGCUUCGGCCCUUGAGUAGAGUGGCGCACGGGUGAGUAACACGUGGGUAAUUUACCUUUGGGUGGGGAAUAACAGUCGGAAACGGCUGCUAAUACCGCAUAAUGCAGCGGCUCCACAUGGAGACAGUUGUUAAAGCGGGGGAGCGAGCAAUCGCCCUCGCGCCUGAAGAGAAGCCCGCGGCAGAUUAGCUAGUUGGUGAGGUAAUGGCUCACCAAGGCUUCGAUCUGUAGCCGGCCUGAGAGGGCGGUCGGCCACACUGACACUGAAUAACGGGUCAGACUCCUACGGUAGGCAGCAGUCGGGAAUUUUGGGCAAUGGGCGCAAGCCUGACCCAGCAACGCCGCGUGAAGGAUGAAAUCUUUCGGGAUGU
rnacentral:rRNA from 1 species